UUCACGGAGAGUUUGAUCCUGGCUCAGGACGAACGCUGGCGGCGUGCUUAACACAUGCAAGUCGAACGGUGAAGCCCUUCGGGGUGGA
rnacentral:rRNA from 1 species